rnacentral:rRNA from 1 species
AGGGAAACCGAGUCUUAACUGGGCGUUAAGUUGCAGGGUAUAGACCCGAAACCCGGUGAUCUAGCCAUGGGCAGGUUGAAGGUUGGGUAACACUAACUGGAGGACCGAACCGACUAAUGUUGAAAAAUUAGCGGAUGACUUGUGGCUGGGGGUGAAAGGCCAAUCAAACCGGGAGAUAGCUGGUUCUCCCCGAAAGCUAUUUAGGUAGCGCCUCGUGAACUCAUCUUCGGGGGUAGAGCACUGUUUCGGCUAGGGGGUCAUCCCGACUUACCAACCCGAUGCAAACUGCGAAUACCGAAGAAUGUUAUCACGGGAGACACACGGCGGGUGCUAACGUCCGUCGUGAAGAGGGAAACAACCCAGACCGCCAGCUAAGGUCCCAAAGUCACAGUUAAGUGGGAAACGAUGUGGGAAGGCUCAGACAGCCAGGAUGUUGGCUUAGAAGCAGCCAUCAUUUAAAGAAAGCGUAAUAGCUCACUGGUCGAGUCGGCCUGCGCGGAAGAUGUAACGGGGCUAAACUGUGCACCGAAGCUGCGGCAGCGACGCUUAUGCGUUGUUGGGUAGGGGAGCGUUCUGUAAGCCUGCGAAGGUGUCCUGUGAGGGAUGCUGGAGGUAUCAGAAGUGCGAAUGCUGACAUAAGUAACGAUAAUGCGGGUGAAAAGCCCGCUCGCCGGAAGACCAAGGGUUCCUGUCCAACGUUAAUCGGGGCAGGGUGAGUCGACCCCUAAGGCGAGGCCGAAAGGCGUAGUCGAUGGGAAACGGGUUAAUAUUCCCGUACUUGGUGUUACUGCGAAGGGGGGACGGAGAAGGCUAUGUUGGCCGGGCGACGGUUGUCCCGGUUUAAGCGUGUAGGCUGGUUUUCCAGGCAA